CCUACGGGAGGCUGCAGUGGGGAAUAUUGGACAAUGGGCGAAAGCCUGAUCCAGCCAUGCCGCGUGUGUGAAGAAGGCCUUCGGGUUGUAAAGCACUUUCAGUGGGGAAGAAAGCCUUGGGGCUAAUACCCUCGAGGAAGGACAUCACCCACAGAAGAAGCACCGGCUAACUCCGUGCCAGCAGCCGCGGUAAUACGGAGGGUGCGAGCGUUAAUCGGAAUUACUGGGCGUAAAGCGCGCGUAGGCGGUCUGAUAAGCCGGUUGUGAAAGCCCCGGGCUCAACCUGGGAACGGCAUCCGGAACUGUCAGGCUAGAGUGCAGGAGAGGAAGGUAGAAUUCCCGGUGUAGCGGUGAAAUGCGUAGAGAUCAGGAGGAAUACCAGUGGCGAAGGCGGCCUUCUGGACUGACACUGACGCUGAGGUGCGAAAGCGUGGGUAGCAAACAGGAUUAGCUACCCGAGUAGUC
rnacentral:rRNA from 1 species